rnacentral:misc_RNA from 1 species
AACGCAAGUUGCACUUCCUGGUAUUCCGGGGAGUACGCUUGUUUGAGGGUUAGUUCAUAAAAUCGUGAUAAGAAAUUUUUACGGAUCUGGAUUUUCCAAAGAAAGUUUUUUGGUGAUCCAAAAAUUAUCUUAACAAUAGGUGAUAUUGGAAAUGUUUAUCUUUUAAUUCAUUAACAAUUAUUACCAACUUGUUGCGUCGUGUUAUUUUCCUAAUUUCUUAAUUAGAUAAAGUAAUACAAUUUUAUUUUUUGAAAUCUGACCUCAAGUCAAGUAAGAAUACCCGCUGAACUUAAA